rnacentral:rRNA from 1 species
GUCCACGCCGUAAACGAUGAGUGCUAGGUGUCGCGGGUAUUGACCCCUGCGGUGCCGCAGUUAACGCAUUAAGCACUCCGCCUGGGGAGUACGGUCGCAAGACUAAAACUCAAAGGAAUUGACGGGGCCCGCACAAGCGGUGGAGCAUGUGGUUCAAUUCGACGCAACGCGCAGAACCUUACCUGGGUUAAAUGCCCUCGAACCCCGCAGAAACGUGGGGGUGCCCGCAAGGGAGCGAGGAGCAAGGUGCUGCAUGGCUGUCGU